UACGGAGGGGGCUAGCGUUGUUCGGAAUUACUGGGCGUAAAGCGCGCGUAGGCGGAUCUGCAAGUCGGGGGUGAAAUCCCGAGGCUCAACCUCGGAACUGCCUUCGAUACUGCGGGUCUCGAGUCCGGGAGAGGUGAGUGGAAUUCCUAGUGUAGAGGUGAAAUUCGUAGAUAUUAGGAAGAACACCAGUGGCGAAGGCGGCUCACUGGCCCGGUACUGACGCUGAGGGCGGCGAAAAGCGUGGGGAGCAAACAGG
rnacentral:rRNA from 1 species